AUUCUGUAAAUAAUAUAAUUUAUAAUAAAGUUAUUUAAAGUUAUUAAUUUUAUAAUAAUAUUAUCAGUUCUUACCUGUUUUUUAAAUUGUAAAAUAUCUUCUGUAGCACCAGCAACUUCCUCUACAUGUUCUGGACUUUCUUGAUCAUCAUCACCUGUAUAGUUAAAAAUAACAAGAAUGACAUUUUGAAAUGAGCUGUUGAAACAAAAAUAAACCACGUAUCGCCUGAUGACGUGUCAUGUGUUUGUUUGUGAAUUUUUUACAUAUAACACCUACCUUGAACGCUUUCUGCUACUUCAUUAAGAACUUGAGCUGUGAAAGAGGAAAUUUUGCCUUGUAAAUUACUCAAUCCUCCUCCAAACCAGGACAUUUUCUAUUAAAAGAGUUUUCACAAAUAUUAUUCAA